AUGCCCAUUGGUGUUCCAAAAGUACCUUACCGGAUUCCUGGCAAUGAAGAAGCGAGUUGGGUUGACUUAUACAAUGUUAUGUAUCGAGAAAUGACAUUUUUAGGUCAAGAGAUUCAUUGCGAGAUCACGAAUCAUAUUACAGGUCUCAUGGUAUAUCUGUGUAUAGAAGAUGGAAUUAGUGAUAUUUUUUUGUUUAUAAACUCCCCAGGCGGGUGGCUAAUAUCAUAA
rnacentral:rRNA from 1 species